UACAGAGGGGGCAAGCGUUGUUCGGAAUUACUGGGCGUAAAGGGCGCGUAGGCGGCCUUCUAAGUCGAACGUGAAAUCCCCGGGCUCAACCCGGGAACUGCGUCCGAUACUGGAAGGCUUGAAUCCGGGAGAGGGAUGCGGAAUUCCAGGUGUAGCGGUGAAAUGCGUAGAUAUCGUAAGGAAGACCAGUGGCGAAGGCGGGUCUCUGGACAGUUCCUGACACUGAGACACGAAGGCCAGGGGAGCAAACGGG
rnacentral:rRNA from 1 species